rnacentral:rRNA from 1 species
AUGAGCGUGUUCUUGGGCCACCGUAGAAACAUAGAUAGGGUCAACGACGAAACGAACAACGAAACUUUACGACAGCUUUUUCGUACACAUUCACUUGCAUCAUAUACACAAGUGCUCUCUGAACCGUGCAAUAAGCUCUGGAUCCCGCCUGCUUGCAGAAAUGAAUGGAUCAGAAAGGGGGCUGGGUUCUAUUUCCGGGCCGGGCAGGAGGUGAAGCCCAGAAGAAGAAGAGAACUGCGCCUUCCCGGUAAGGAAGAGGAUAAAAAGGUGAUCGGAGGAAGGGCGGGCAGCAGGUACCACGAGCCCUCUGUCCCACACAUCUAUAGAAGCAAGUGUAGUUCACCGGUUCCACCGAAUGCUCCUAUCUCUCGGCAAAGAUCUUCCCCUUCUUUUCCGGUGCACUCGCUUUGUAUCUCCGACACACAAGGAAGGACGCGGUGGGAAGAAAGCUGCCCUAGCCUCUGUCCGGUCGAUCAUUACACUGGCAUCUUGCAUUCACGCCUCCGUUUAACUGCCGCUCGGGAAUGUAGUUGUAGAUACUCGUCGCCAUAUUCAAUAUGUCACUUAGUCAUAUCUGCCUCGCAGCGGGUCAGCACCUCCGAAAGAAAGGGAGGGAGGACUUCAUUCAGUGACUCUGCGAUCGCCCUCUAA